CUGAAACCCCCGGGUGGUUUCUGACCUUCUGGACGCUUGUGGCUGACGUGUGCUUGCCCGGUGCCGCUGUCUGCAGAGCUCCUUCCCGAGCAGGCGCCCGGAGCUGGAGCCUCUGCUUGGAGCUGGAUAUGGCUCGUGGACAACAGAAGAUUCAGUCACAACAGAAAAAUGCCAAAAAACAAGCUGAACAAAAAAAGAAGCAAGGACAUGAUCAGAAGGCUGCAGCCAAGGCUGCCUUGAUCUAUACCUGCACUGUCUGUAGGACACAAAUGCCAGACCCCAAGACCUUCAAACAGCACUUUGAGAGCAAGCAUCCUAAGACUCCACUUCCUCCAGAAUUGGCUGAUGUUCAGGCAUAAGUAAAAGUUUAACUAGUGGCACGUCCUUAGACUACUAAGUAUCAGAAGCACUUUAAUCUUUACUAGUGCAGCAGAAGGGACCUGGCUCUUGAUCGAGUUAUUGACACCAGCUUAAAUGAAAAAACAACCUUGAAUGUCAUGGUACAACUAAUGAAUGAAGUAUUUGCCUUGAAACAAAUGAUGUGAAUUCAUGGCACCUAUUGACUCUUCUACUGUCAGACCUUACAUAACAAACCUGCAGCUGCUUUUCUAACAAACUGUUGAUCAACAAAUAUGAAGGGGCUACAGAAACAUUCAUAUUUUUAUGCUGUUCCCUCUUGGGCUUCAUGCAAAGACAAUUCUGUGUAAAUGUACAGUUCUGCCCUACUUGGAAAUCCUGAAAAUCAGUCCAUACUUGUUAUAAAAAUUUUUUACAAUUGUAAUUAUAUUGAUGUUCAUAUUGUGUAAAAUAACUCAUUUAAUAAAGUAGUACUUUGAUUUUUACAAUAUCACAGGUUAAAUGCUUGUAGAAAUUCUGUUAAACUUUCCACAUUAUCUGCCUUAUGAAGUCCUAAUGAAGACAAAGUAGAAUUCUCCCCAUCCCACCAAAAAUUGGAAUGGUCUCAUUCUACUGAAAGUGAUGCACAUCAUAAUAAGUUUGAUCUAAGAAAAGAGGGAAACUGCUUGUAUAUUUACCUUUGUGUGCUACCAGCUUGAGUCAAGAAACUUAAAUCUUUUGAUGAUAGCUCAAGUGGCAUAGCCAGCUCUUUAGAGCUGCAUUAGAGUCAUGAAACUUCUACUUCUUGUUCCAUGUAUUGGGGAGUGUCAGUACUACAAGCCAUUUGGAACAGGGUUCCUUUAUUGUAAGGGAACUUGUUCCUUAGAGUCAUGCACUGGAGAGACUCUUGCUAGACAAGUAAACCUUAAUAUUUGGUAGACAGCUGGCAGAGCUUGAGAGUUAAUAACAUCUAACAAUCUCUGGCAUGCUGGUUUGAAUACAAUUAGCAAAUGCUAUAUCAGGUUGAAGUAAUUCUGCUUUUGGUUGUAAAAUUUAAUCUAAAAAGUUAGUGAAUGCACAUAACUAGUCAGUCGCAGGUUUCCCCUCAAAUGUCUCUGACUGUUUCUGUAACAACUUUGCAAGAGGAUACAAACUAAAUAGUGGUAUUUUUCAACUAACUUUAAAGUUAGUCUGUUUCUUCCCUUUCCAACAGGCUAACUAGAAAUGACAUAGCUAGUUAAGCUUCAGUCAGUUCUGACUUACACUUUUCCUCGAUAAAACUUAUGUAAAAUUGAACACACCCAGCCAAGAGCACUUGAGAAAAGAGCUUUAAUAAUUUAGCUCUUAUGAUUAUGAUUUAAUAAUCAUUUAGCUUUAAUAAUGUGUAAUUUGGGCUAGAUUCUAAUCUCAGAUGUGAAAAAGCAUUGCUAGUAUAUUUCAGAGUGCUGCCUGAGGAUCUACAGUACAGUAGGACAUCCUAAAAGCAUAUGGUCUAGGAUUACCUAACAGUCACUCUUCUGAAAUUGAUUGCAGUGAGGGACAGUCAUACUGUGAAUGAGGGACAUGUAUUCAUAGUAUGAAUUUCUCAGAUUUGUUAUUUGUCCUUGCUUGUAACAGGUCUUUCAUUUCUGGCAGAUCAAAUAACUCCUGCUACAUGAUUGGACUCUGCCUGACUUCCCAAUGGUUUCCUAAAAUACAGGACCAUAUUCUUGAAGAGUGAUUUACUUAAAGGAAUGCAUGAAACAGAUGGUACUUAUAAUAUAUCAGUCAAAGCCUUUGUCUCUGUCCACCUAUUUACCCUUUAAUUUAGCUACUUUUUGGAGGUUAGCCUUCUAGCCAUCUUACUAUAACUGCAAGGCGUAUUUCUGUAAAUGUUCACUUUGGCAUGAAAUUCAACUGCGUUAUAGUUGCUCUGGGAUAACCUGUAUACCACUCUACCUUUUUAUAGAUCUUGCUAUUGAGAAUAAUCCACUACUGCACUUGCACACCUGACAUCAGAAUGUAGCCCUUCAUUUAUUUCCUUUUAAUGUUCUAAAUCAAUCCAAUAAUUGUAUCUUGACAGACUGACUCCCAGGAGGCAAGAAAUCUUUCAACUUUGUCCUGUUGGGGUACUUAAGUGUUCUGACUGUGUAGCUUGUCUAAGGAAUGAGUAUACACCAAGCAAGAUGUUUCUUGCACUGAUUGAUACUUGGUAAUCUGCUUUUAACCUGAGACUUAUUUUGGGAUGCAUCCUUAAAACUCAGUCCUAAAACAAAGCACAUGUUCUGUUGCUUGAAUUCCAAUUUGUGUAGCACCAAAUAAAAAUGACUUUGUUUCAUAACAAUCUCAGUUAACAAGCAAAUAAGCGGAAAAGCUGCAUUAUGCUGGUAGGACAUAACUUGCUUGCAUAAGAAUCUUUUGCUGUAUUUUCAGUACUGUAUGACUCUUUAAUAUGAAAGUAUCAGUAUCAACUCUUUCUGUUACAGAGUAGAAGGUGUGGGUGAUCUUCUAUUCUAUUAAAAUUCCUACUUGCAGCUGUUACAAUCUGACAUAUUGUAAUAACCUGAUCAGUAAAAACAUCAUGGAAUUGUUUUGGAAACUCAAAAGUGCAGGACUAAAUGGGGGAAUUGUCCUCAUUGGUAUUACCUGCACAUGCUUGUAUUGAUUUAAAAGGAUGCAGGUAAGGAGUAGGUGAGAUCCUCUGCUCUCCUGAUCAUAUGGAUGACACCUUGUUAAUUCCGGCUAAAAAGACACUGUUGUGCUUUGUAACGUGUCUGAUUAAAGACGAUUUAAAACCUAAA